GAGGAGGGGAGGAGGAGGAACUAACCACCACCAUCGGAGGGUCCUGCGUCCUACGUCCUACUCCGCCUGCUUUGGUGGUGGUUUCCUUCCUUCCUUCCUCCCGAUCGAACCAACUUCCCCCUUUUGCACGUGGAUUUCGACUAAACGCCGUCUGCGCGACAUCAAGGUGAUCGUGAGAAAGUUUUUUUCUCACAUUAUUCCGCAGCGACUCCUGUUUUAAUUUUAGCCUCUGUCGGAAUUAUUAUGCAUUUAUGAAUUGAUAUGACUCGCGGUGGCUUGAUUUUUACCCUGGGGGAUGACUGUACUUAUUGGAAGAUUUACAGUUGUUGUCGUCAGGGGAAAAAUGGGAAGGUAACGUAAGGGAAUUUCAAGAGAAUUUCUGUAGUGUCAACUUCCCUGUGAUACAUGUUACUAGAGUAAAAGGGUAUAUGUAUUAGAGUCGUCGGAAAGAACUUAACAAGUAGAAGGAAGCUCUUCCGACCCUGCAAAGUACAAUUCUUCAUCAGGAUCAUUAGCCGAGUCGAUCAAGCCAUAUGGCAUAUGCUCGUCUAUCU